rnacentral:lncRNA from 1 species
AUGAUAAUGGGUUAGUUGUUUAUCUAUUUCAUUGUACAUGCAUUCAUAUAUUUAUGAUUGGGCAUAGUAGCGUAGCUUUACUUCUGUCAUUUACCGCUUUCCUUAUCUAUCUAUCUAUCGAUUAUCUACUUUUGCCCGCUUGGACCUAGUGGGGAGAUCGGCGGAGUCGGCGGCCGAACCCACUGGGAACUAAGGAAGUUAGUUCUCACCCCACUCUUUACAGGUUCUAGUUCGGGCGUCCCCGGUGAGCGUGAGGAUCGUGGUAAGGGCAAGGCGCUCUAGUCGCAUUAGCUACCUCCCUUUUGCAUUAGCUGUCACCCUUUUUGUAUUUGAGAGUAGAUGUUGUAUAGGGUGAGGUUUGAGUGCUUGUACUUAUAUUUUUGGAAGAAUGUAAAAGACGUACUUAAAUGUAGUAAAUCAAAUGAAUGUAAUGGAUAGCCUCUUCUCUCUUAUGUACUUGUAUAUGUUUCUAUACUUGGUGGUGCUUCUUGAUCGUGUAUUUAUGAAUUGAUUCCUGGGUAAAUUCUUAUACAUGAUCUGUUGGUUAGCCUUGGACGGACAGGGGAGGUCCUGUCCGUUUGGCGUCUAUUCGACGCGCCCGGGGCCGGACCAAAUUGGUAGCGGUCUCGGGGAGUGACAGAGUCCCAAAUUUACACUCUCUGGGCAUAAUAGAACAAUAUAAUUAGGUUUUACUCAUUGUUCGAUAGAAUGAGAAAAAGUACUCGUUGCAAAUUUAUACUGUUUGGGCGCAACUGAGUAUUGUAAUGUUGUUUCGGUUUUAAUUCUUGUGAACGUUGACAUGAAAUCGUUCCAAAUUUACACUCUCGGGACAUAAUAGAAAAAUAUAAUUAGGUUUUACUCUUUGUUCGAUAGAAUUAGAAAAAGUACUCGUUGCAAAGUUAUACUAUAAAGGUGCAACUGGGUAGUCUAAUGUUGUUCCGGUUUUUCUUCUUGUGAACGUUGACAUCGAUUCGUUCCAAAUUUACACUCUCUGGGCAUAAUAGAACAAUAUAAUUAGGUUUUACGCUUUGUUCGAUAGAAUGAGAAAAAGUACUCAUUGCAAAGUUAUACUGUUAGGGCGCAACUGAGUAGUCUAAUGUUGUUCCGGUUUUUGUUCUUGUGAACGUUGACAUCGAUUAGUUCCAAAUUCACAAUCUCAGGGCAUAAUAGAACAAUAUAAUUAGGUUUUACUCUUUGUUCGAUUGAAUGACAAAAAGUACUCGUUGCAAUGUUAAAUUGUUAGGACGCAACUGAGUAGUCUAAUGUUGUUCUGGUUUGGUUCUUGUGAACGUUAACAUCGAUUCGUUCCAAAUUUACACUCUCGGGGCAUAAUAGAACAAUAUAAUUAGGUUUUACUCUUUGUUCGAUUGAAUGAGAAAAAGUACUCGUUGCAAAGUUAUACUGUUAGGGCGCAACUGAGUAGUCUAAUGUUGUUCUGGUUUUGGUUCUUGUGAACGUUGACAUCGAUUCAAUCCAAAUUAACACUCUUGGGGUAUAAUAGAACAAUAUAAUUAGGUUUUACUCCUUGUUCGAUUUAAUGAGAAAAAGUACUCGUCGCAAAGUUAUACUGUUAGUGCGCAACUGAGUAGUCUAAUGUUGUUCCGGUUUUGGUUCGCAAAGUUAUACUAUGCCACCUGCUGCGGCGUCGGCUGGACGUGUGACGGCACCACGUCAACCUGAACAAGCACGAUCGGCUCCGAGCGGAAGGAUGUAUGCCGCUCAAGUACAAGUGGAGGAGCCCCCUGAAGCUGAGGAGCGUAAUGUAGUGGCAGGUAUGGUGUUGAUUAAUGGUGUUCGAGCAAGAGCUCUUUUUGAUACUGGCGCUUCUCACUCGUUUAUUAACUAAUCAUUUGCGCAAGUGCAUGACAUUGAGAUUAGUCUCGGGGAGAGUGUUUGGCGUGUAGAGGGACCCGGACGAGCGUUCCUCGUUAAGAAGCGGUGCUUGGCGUGCCCAGUACAAGUAGGUGACUGGAUUAUGCCAGUCGACCUGUUGGUGCUAAAGAGUUCGUGUAUUGGGCAUGAACUGGCUCUCGAAGUAUUAUGUGUCUAUCGACUGUAAGACUAGAGUGAUCACAUUUCGGGAGCCGGGACACGAGGAGUUUACGUAUCGAGCUUGCAAGAGUUCGUGUUUCGCCGCGACGGUGUCGGCGACGAGAGCAAGGAAGCUGGUUAAUAGCAGUUGUACGGCUUACUUGGCGACCGUUAGGAAGUCGACCGAGUAGUGCCGGUUCUGGAAGAGUUGGAGGUUGUGCAAGAAUUCCCGGACGUGUUUCCGAAAGAGUUACUGGGGAUGCCGCCAGACCGAGAAAUUGAGUUCAUGAUCAACUUGCUUCCCAGGAUCGCGCCGAUAUCAAAGGCCCCGUAUCAUAUGGCGCCGGCUGAGUUAAGGGAGUUGAGGGAUCAGUUGCAGGAUCUUCUCGACAAGCAGUUCAUUAGGCCGAGCGUGUCUCCGUGGGGAGCCCCGGUAUUGUUUGUGCGCAAGUAGGAUAGAUCUUUUCGACUCUGUGUGGAUUACCGCGAGUUGAAUAAGGUCACCGUGAAGAACAAGUAGCCGUUACCCCGCAUCGACGACUUGUUUGAUCAGUUACAGGGGUCGCGAGUGUACUCAAAGAUUGACCUUCAAUCCGGCUACCAUAAAUUGAAGAUUAAGCCGGAGGAUGUUCCGAAGACAGCCUUCCGUACGCGGUAUGGACACUAUGAGUUCACGGUGAUGCCGUUUGGGCUUAUGAAUGCCUCGGCUGCGUUCAUGAGCUUGAUGAACCGAGUAUUUAGGGAGUGCUUAGACCGAUUUGUCGUAGUCUUUAUAGACGACAUCUUGGUCUAUUCGCACAACGAGGAGGAGCAUGUGAAGCAUUUGCGCACUGUACUUCAAAUCCUUCGGGAGAAGAAGUUGUACGCAAAGUUGAAGAAGUGUGACUUAUGGCUCCGGGAAGUUGCUUUUCUCGGGCAUGUUAUUUCCGAGGGCGGUGUUUCUGUGGACCCGAGGAAAGUAGAGGCUAUUGAGAAUUGGCCACGCCCGACGAAUGUUGCUGAGGUCCGAAGUUUUGUGGGCCUAGCGGGUUAUUACCGACGGUUUGUGGAGGGUUUCUCGAAGAUCGUAACUCCACUCACCCGUCUGACGCAGAAGGGCACCAGAUUUGUUUGGAGCGACGAGUGUGACCAGAGUUUCAAGGAGCUGAAGGAAAGAUUAACUUCAACUCCGGUACUCGCCUUACCGGUGCAGGGUGAGGAUUAUGUAGUGUAUAGCGACGCAUCCUAUCUGGGUCUGGGGUGUGUACUGAUGCAAGGUGGGAGGGUGAUUGCUUAUGCAUCCCGUCAAUUGAAAAGCUACGAGAGGAACUACCCCAUACAUGAUUUGGAAUUGGCGGCGGUAAUCUUUGCUUUGAAGCUUUGGAGACACUAUCUGUAUGGUGCUCAUUGCGAGAUCUACACCGACCAUAAGAGUUUGAAAUACUUGUUUACCCAGAAGGAGCUGAACAUGCGGCAACGGCGGUGGUUGGAAUUGCUUAAGGACUACGAUGUUGAUAUCCUUUACCACCCCGGGAAAGCGAACGUGGUCGCGGAUGCACUUAGUCGGAAGUCGGCGGAGAACCUCGCUUUGUGGGUUACAAGCCAGACGCCCAUGCAGUUGCAAAUGGGGAAGAUGGAUCUCGAGGUGGUGGCUCCGGAAAUUCCGGCUAGGAUGAUGACGUUGGUGAUCCAACCGACCUUAUUGGAGAGGAUUAAAGAUUCGCAGUCGGCGGACCCGAAUCUCCAGAAGGUACGGCACAAUGUUGAAAGUGGCCGUGGCGGAGAUUUCAGCGUAGAUACUAGUGGUGCACUACGAUUUCAAAAUCGGUGGUGUGUGCCAAAUGACGAGGAGCUUCGCAAGCUGAUUUUGCAAGAAGCGCAUUGGUCUCCUUAUGUCGACCACCCGGGCGGCACCAAAAUGUUUCACGAGUUGAAGACAUUGUACUGGUGGCCGGGAAUGAAGACUGAUAUUGGCCGCUUCGUAGCGAAGUGUUUGGUGUGCCAACAGGUGAAGGCGCAGCGUCGAUUUCCAGUGGGGAAGCUUCAGAGUUUAACUAUUCCCGUCUGGAAAUGAGAUGACAUAUCGAUGGACUUCAUCGUUAGCUUACCUCGUUCGACAAGGGGCCACGACGCGAUUUGGGUGAUUGUGGAUCGUUUGACGAAAUCGGCGCACUUUCUGCCGAUCCACAACACCUGGGCAGGUGAGAAACUCGCGCAGGUAUAUCUCGACGAGGUGGUGAGGCUACAUGGGGUGCCGAAGUCGAUUGUAUCAGAUCGAGACCCCAAGUUCACUUCACACUUUUAGAGAAGCCUACAAGAAGCCCUUGGCACGCGACUCGAGUUCAGUACCGCCUUUCAUCCUCGGACAGAUGGACAGACCGAGAGAACCAUCCAGACCUUGGAGGAUAUGUUGCGGGCGUGUGCCAUCAACAUAUGCUCCAAACAAUCCAAAUAUUAAGGAUUUAACAAGCUAACUUCACAUUAGAGGCUAUUAGAACACUUAAACUUAAGGAUUAAGCCAAAUCCCGAUAGCUUACCAAAAUAUGAACGCUGAAACGGAAGCACGCCAAUCCAACGGGCGCAUGAAAACUCGAUCCGUCGCUCCCAACGCGUUCGCAAGCUCGAUCUCCACCAACGCCGUGAAUUUGGGCGAAAGAUCUAGAGAGAUGAGAGAGAUAUUUAGAGAGAGAAAGAGAGGGUUUCUCUCUCCUUCACCAUGUGCGUGUGAUGCUUGGUGCUAGCUGCAGCUGAGGAGGAAGAAGCCUAGUAGCUUCUACUUAUAGUCAACACCUCAAUAGUAGCAUACACUAUUCACAUCAGGCAGCUCCAAAUCUGAUAUCUUUCGUCGGAGCUCCCUGAAUAUCCGUUUGAGCUCAAAUUUGACAGUCAUGUUCGGUUCAACGUACUGAACAAGAAUAUAUCUUAAGUUUUCAGUUUCGACCCCGUUUGGUCACCGAAAACUGUGCCGAACUGCAAUCUUUAUCAGAUGACUUUCGGAUUUUAUUUCUCACUCUACGGGUGUCAGAAAAAUAUGAAACUUUAAAUCUAGCCUCAUUAAAAUAUUUCUGGCAUCCCCGCCAAUUUUCAUAAUUUUCUGAGGCUGUACAUUUUCUGCUAAUUUAUCUGCCCCGUUUCUCACAGAAAAUCUAAAUCUUCUGUUUCGCUCUGAUUUCAACACGGGUCAUUCCAGACUUAUAUUUCACUUCUCUAAAUCUAAUAAAAAUAGUAUCUCAUACUAUUUUUAUUUAUUUUCCUUUUUAUAUUAAAAUCCGCAUAUUACAUCCCACUGUAACUUCAUAAUUUUAGUAGUUCGGUAUCCUACAUACACAAUGUAUUCCAUGUCUCCAAUCUUCGCAAGUAUGUGCAUGAUCCCGAGCAUGUCUUGGUCUACGAGCCGUCAGAACUGCAAGGAGACAUGAGCUACGAAGAGUUUCCGGUGGAGAUCCUAGCUCGAGAGGUGCGUAAGUUGAGAAGUCGCGAAAUCCCUUAUGUUCGAGUCCGGUGGAGUAAUCAUAGCGAUCGUGAAGCCACCUAGGAGCUCGAGGAGGAGAUGAAAGCGAAUCAUCCUCACUUAUUUAAGGAUUGAGCUGAGGUAUGAGUUUAAAAUUCGAAUUCUGAAUGAACUUAGUGUCGUUGAGUUCGUUUCGAGGACGAAACUCUUUUAAGGUGGGGAGAAUGUAAGGAAAGUGAAUUCUCGAAAUCCGAGGAUUAGACUUCGUCUGGAAUCGACUGGUUGUCGAGUGUGUAAGCUUCGGAAAGUCCGAAGGCGAUUAAAGCACAUGAAGUGCAUUAAGAAAGGUCCGCGAGAGCACCAGUGCAAAAGCUGCACUGGGGCAGAAAUGCUUUCGGGGACCGGUCCCUGGCAAGGAGGGACCGGUCCCAUCGGGCUGGGCUGCGGGGGUCUCUGAUGAGACCGGUCCCUGGCAGGCAGGGACCGGUUCCCGAACGUUAGCCCAGCGAGAAUUAGCCGAAAUUUGGCUAAGUCCCGAGAACUCAGCUCUCGGGGACCGGUCUCUCGGAUAAGGACCGGUCUCCCGGGGACCGGUCUCUCAGGUAAGGACCAAUUCCCGAACGCGAAAUCCCCUCUGCCUGAUUGUGCAGCUCUCGGGGACCGGUCUCCCCGAGCUUGGACCGGUCCCUCACUGCGAAAAUGGCCCAGUGAGAGGCUGUGUAAUAGAUGAAAAGUUGAGGGGUUUAAUUGCAAAAUGGCUUAUAUGAGAGGCUAGGGGACCCUCUCUCUCUCUCAUUUGCUUUCUCUCCCUUUCACACUCUUUCCCUCUCUCUCUCUAGGAAAGAAAAGAAGGAGAAGAAGGAGAAGAAAAGAAGAGGAAGGAAAAGACUAAGAAGAAGAAGAAGAUUGUCUUCUUCUCUCUCCCUCAAGCUUGAGGUCUUGAAGAGAGGUAAGCUUUAAACCCUUUAAUGGUGUUCUAGGGUUUGGGGGUUUUAUAGCUUAGAAAUAGUUCAAGCUCGAAGUCGAGGCUCGCCCCACGGAUUUCCCCACCGUUGCUAACCUAGGGCACGGAUUUGGGAUUUUUAGAAAUCUAGGGUUUUGAUCUCAAUUAAUGGGUCGCAAACCUAAUUGCUAGGUCCCUGAACGCGCCGGCGAAGACGGUUUGUCGAUCCGUCGAGUAGGUGCGUAGUUAUUGUCGAAGGCGACCCUCGGAGCGUCGUUUCCGCUGAGAAGGCCGACGAGGCGUCGAAACGUCGGCGAAUCGCAUACGAAGGGUCGCGGCAUCGCCAUGAGGUGGGAGAGUGCCAUCCCGAAGCAGUCGUGUCACGCCCCGCGACCAACCGCCAAUUUGGACCGGGUCGCGGCGCCGCCGACAGACCGCCGACCGGACCAGGAAUUCCCCUGUACGCGGACAGAGUCUCCUAAGUACGUCCAAGGCGUCGCAAUCCAAACAAUCAACGAAUGUUCCAACAAGGAACGGAUAUCAAUCCAAAUUGCAUAAGGAAGUAUCAAAUACAUAAUCUACUUGCUAUCACAAGCAUUCAUUUCACAACCACGUUUUACAUCACAGUUUCAGUUUACAUUUUUACUUCCGAAUUACAAUCUCACUAUUACAUCAGGGUUUAUGAGUUUGAUACAUUUUCUUUUCUUGUCUUCUAGACCCCUAAGCUAGACUGUCUCAGGGUACUGCUACCUCGGUCUCUGUAGUGGGGCGCUAUCUACUGAGCUACGCCUUCGCCUCGCGCCGCCGCGCCGCACACGAACGACCUGAAAAUCCCAAAACAACGUGGGGUGAGAACCAACUCCAUGGUUCCCAGUGGGUACGGCCACCCAAGGAAAAAGCUCGACCGAUAGGUCCGAGGAGGCACUGCAACAUGUUAGUUCAACCAAUAACAGCAGUAAUAUAUACAAUGCUGAAAUACACUGGCCAUGCCUCACAAUAUGCGAUAUGAAAUCUGCACAACAAGUAAUCAUUUGAAAUUCUACUUUUACUUGCUACUUUAGCCAAAUGAAUUACUCCCUAAGGUUCUAUUACCUUAGGGAUCAGCAACACCAACCCCACUAGCUUUCUAAGGUUUCUAUUACCCGUAGGAUCAGCCCUCCUAUCCAGCCUCAUCAGGGUUUCCUCUACCCUAUCAAUAACUAACCAACCCGACUCGGCCCCUUCGAGUCAAUCAUCCCUGCGAUAGCCUGCGCACUGGCUGCUCAACAGCCUACGCACUCUCUCUGACUCAGGCCUCGCUACACACCGGCGAAAAUCGUCGCACACGCUGAGGCACCGGCUCGAGUCGCCAAGACUUGACCAUCCGGUGGCCGAUCGCGUUCACUUAACCAACCGUGAGCUCCCUGAGACCAUGACAUACGUCCUGCGCGAACGGGUGCACCCAGACAACGAUCUUGUCAGACUUAGUCACCUGGAGGCACCCCCCGCAUUGACUACCCAGCAUCGGAUUCAGUCACUCUGGCGGCUGAUCCUCAAAUGGCUAACCAUCCCGGCGGGCCCGAAAUCGUCGCACAAACGCCACGCAAUGGUUCAACGACCCGGGCCCCCCCGGUGAUCUCUAUAUUGAUCGCCCCCAACACCCACGGUACCAAGCUCGGCGGCGAAGUCGCGGCACCGAACCGGCCCUAGCCGACUGUUACCCAGCGGACAUUCAUUAAGUCCUGGGAUUCCGGAAUCCACUUACCCCACAGGUCGAGGGUCCCAUAAAACCAACCCUAUACUGUCGACCCCUAUCUCAUCCCUAGUGGCUAACCACAUACGCCAUCAACCUAAGGUCCAAUACUCCCUAAGGUUCAGGUCCAUGUCACUUACCUAGAUAACACUUGGCCUAGGUUCAUGCAUUUUACCUAGAUGUCCACUUCUAGGUUUACUAGUUCGACCUACGGUUUACUAAACUAGGUUAGUGAAAGCACAACACCUAAAUCGUUCGAUCUCUAGGUUCACCUGUUAACCUUGUUCUUUAAUACUAGUUAAGCCACUCGAUCCAGUCUGGCAACCUAGUGUCCCAAUCAUCCACCUACUCACACAGAAAGUUAUCAAGCUAGAGUUUUAUACCUAUACCAUACAUCAUUGCUUCCUAAGCUUAGCAAUUUACCCUAUGCAUCCUUGCACAUCGCAUUUCUUAAAAAACAAAAAAAAAAAAAAUACACCAGCUAGCAUACCUAAAAUGCAUAAUCAUCUAUGGCUUCACUGGGCACUGUUAUUAAUAUCGCAUUUUGCUCAUAUCAGCACUUACUAGCAUUAUAUUUAUUGUCAUGCUUACUAAGCAUAAUGUAACCCUUGCUCCACUAUGCAUUUCCACCUUAGCAGCUUUCAUCUAUGCAUUAUCUUCUAUCAUGCAUCUAACCUUACAUUGGUUUAGCAUUUUACUUAUGCAUAUCUAUUAAUGACCAACUUAGCUUGUCUACAUGCACAUGCAUCCAACUGAGAUUAGAUUGGCUAAGACAUAAGGGUGACCUAGUCGGCUCCCCGGUAAGCAGCAACCCACCUUAUCGCGUCCGAUUGCUUGUCGACCACUUGCAUUCGUCUCGCGCGCACUCGCACCCGUUUGGCCCCGAACUCUUGCGCGACUGUGCGACCGUAACCCUCCGAACCGGCGAUCCGUCUUUCCGGAGUUUAUUCCUUGACUCCAAGAUGGCUCGAUUCCGAUGCUCACGAUUUGUAGGCGUUUUAUUCCGGCGUGCCGGCCAUUCUGUGACGCAAGAACCGACCGGUUUCGUGCAUAAACUUCGCGUACGUCGUCCGGAUUGUCGAACCCGAGCGUUUCAACGGCGGUUCAUAGGUCCCGCAUAGGUUCUCCAAAGUGGUCAAAAUAGAUCAAAACCCCAUAUGAGCAAAACCCCUCUUUGGGAUGCCCUAACAUAUGCUCAAUACUUCGGAUUUGAUCUAUAAAACAAGCAAAAGAUAGCUUGUUUAUCAUCUAGGAGCUCAAAUAGGAGUAUUCGAACCAUUUCUAGGGUGUUUAGGACAAACUCUAGAAAUCCACCAUUAAAGCCUCAUGAAGAACAACAUGGAUUUCAUGUGUUCUUGGCCUCUACGAAGUUCUAAAGCUUGUACGUAGAUCAAAACCAAAGAUCUAGGGUUUAAAACCCAUUCUACAAAAAUCUACCAUGAGAGGCUUGGAAGCUUACCUCUCCUAGAGCUCCAAGGGAGAGAAGAAGAUGAAGAGGAUGAUGAUGGUGAUGAUCCUCUUCCUCUCCUCCAUCUUCUCCUUCUUUUCUUCUUCUUCUUUUCUUCUUUUCCCUUCUUCUCUUCUCUUUUUCCUUCUCUUUUCUUGCAACCGGUUGAGAGAGAGGGAGAGACACGAGAGAGAGAGAGAGAGAGAGAGAGAGAGAGAGAUCUGCUGUGGGGGAGAGGGGUUUAGGGCUAUUACAUUAGGUAACAAUUGCUAAUAAACCCCUCCAAUCAUUUAUAAUUGCAGCAGACUAAUUCUGUGCUGUUCGGACUCCUUGUACCGGUACACGGUUUCUUGUACCGGUACAAGGCCUGGCAGACAGCCCAACCCGAGAGCUGGCUCUCUCGGUUGCGCAGGGCUUGUACCGGUACAAGACCCCUUGUACCGGUACAAGGCCUGGCAGCUCCAAGCCUUGAACUUCGCUGGUUGUACCGGUACAACCAUUGGGCUUGUACCGAUACAAGACAUCCAGAAUGUCAUUUUUGACUUCGUUUUCACUCUCUUUCGCGCCGUUCGAUGCCAAAACUCUUCCAACUAUUUUGAGCUUACUUUUAGCCCUUCCAACCGUGUUGGAAUGUUAAUUGGGACUUGUCCAUCCAUCUUCUUCGCAUACUUUAGUCGAUUUGGCUAAAGUUCGAUAAUUUCUUCCGAAACCUCGGGGGUUACAAGUCGGGCUGCUCUCUAUGUCUGAGUAACAUUGUCGAUCAUUUACAUAUUGUGAUAUAGCAUUAUAGGGUGUUUGUCACGCCCCGAGACCGCUACCAAUUUGGUGCGGUUCGAGCGCGUCGAACAGACGCCGAACGGACAGAGUCUCCCCUGUCCGCCCAAGGCUAAGCAAACGAUCAUGUACAAGGAUUUACCCAGGAAUCAAAUCAUAAGUACACAAUCACAAGAGCACAACAAGUGCUAACAAGUAAGAGCAAGGCACAAGUAUAAAGAAUACAAGUAACGAUAAAGAGAGAAGGUCUAUCUAUUACAUUCAUUCAACCUCUUUAAUACAUCGAUUUACAUUUAAACUGCCAAAUACAACAUGAGUUUACAUUUCCAAAAUGAUUCCUCACACCCUAUACAUCAUCUACUCUCAAGUACAAAAGGAUACUCUAACUCGUCUACUUGUGGCUUACAAUAUCACUGCGGUUAAGGUCAACCAAUCCCACACGGGUCAAUACUCUAACCUAGCUCGAGUGAAUCGGACAGAGGUGGACACCUCCAUCGAGGAGUGUCCAUCACGUGAGGCCUCAAACCGUGCGCUCCCCCGGUCACAUCACGGGAACCUGGUCACAUCACAGGCGUCCGCCAGAGCCCCAUCCACUUAUCGAUCGGUGGAGGGGAUACUCUGAAUCUCUGCACUCUGACACUCGCUUGGAACGCAAGCGAUUCUCUAACCCAUUAACUAACUUACUAAAAUAAUAACUCGUAUCAUCAUACUAUCGGUCGGAAGAGUGAUACUCAGGGUACGUACGUAGUAUGACCUAACUCUGUAACUAUCUAAUAUCAAGUAUCAACGAGUAAUGACAAUUACGAAAGUCAAAAUAUAUAGAUUGAUGAGCAACGUUUCAGAUAUGACAAACCCGCGUUGACUCAUCUGGAUUACCCCUCUAGGCGCCUCAGCCAGUCGGCUUGGGUGACUGUUGCUAAGCAUCAAGAGUGUGGUGGUACAAUGAUGUCCCGGCUCGCGCUCGCGUGUGCCGCUCCUAGCGCCGUUCCCGCAUCGCGGGAUCUACUGUAAUCAUCUCCAAAUGAAAGGAGUACGUGAUCUCGGUGGUACAUGAUAANCUGGAGAACUUUAGUGUGGUUUAGACACUAUGAGAUUGAGCAGAUGAACACCGAAUGUUAUAGUGACGCCAAUUCCAGUUGGUUAGGGUGUGCCCAGUUAUGAGAUUGGAUCGAGCUCACUUAGCCUGUCUCCACCUGUGGAGGUAGCUCCUCACAGGUAGUGCACUCCGGAGUUUGGCACGCGAGGGGGCCAGUGUAGUGCCCUUGGACCAGUGUAGUGUCCGCAGGCGGUCUCGGGGUAGGUGAAUAGCUAGCCACCUCCCCUAUGAGACUUAGAGACGUGAGACUGUGAGCGAACCUUGCGUUCGCUAAGAGAUUGGGUAAUUGAUUGAAUGAUUUUAUUAUUGAGCAUAGUAGUAUGAUAGCCAGCCUUCUCACUAUGAGUCCCAUGCAUGCAUCAUACUGGAUUGAGACAUUGAUAGAUUAUAGUUCAUAGUUGCUCAUUACUGUUAAUGCUUUCAGUUUUAUAUAUCUAUCUAUCUGCAUGUCUAUCUGUGCCUGCUUAGACCUAGUGGGGAGAUCGGCGGAGUCGGCAGCCGAACCCACUGGGAACUAUUCGUAGUUCUCACUCCACCAUGUUGCAGGUCCGAGUUCGAGCGCCCCUGGUGAGGAUCGCGGCAAGGGCGUAGCGCCCUAGUGACAUUAGUAGAGGUUUACUUUCCUCAUGCACUAGUUGUAUCCUGUACUAUUUUGAAAGUAGUUGGAUGUAUAGGGUGAGGUUUUGAGAGGAUUGUAUAUACAUUGUACAGUUUUGGAAGAAUGCAAGUUGUAAUAAUUGUAUAAAGUUAAAUAAAUUAAUAGUUAAGUACAUCUCUCUUUUAUCACUUGUAUACUUUACAUGUGUCGCUUGCUCUUAGUUGAUAAGCACUGUUUGUGCUCUCGCGGUUGUUGUAUGAUUGUGUAUGUAUUCAAGUUGUUUCCUGGGAACUUGUUGUACACAAUCUAGUUGUUCUAGCCAUGGGCGGACAGUGGAAGUGCUGUCCGUUCGGCGGUCCGUUCGCCGCGCCCGAACCGUGCCAAAUUGGUAGCGGCCUCGAGGCGGGGGCGUGACAGAUUCGUUCCAAAUUUACACUCUCGGUGUAAGGUACCAGACUUCUAAAACUAUGAAGUUACGGUGUACAUUUAAAUGGUUUCGGUGAGGUUGCGGUGGAAUGUAACAUACCGAAUUUUAAAUGUAAAAGUGAAAAUAAAUAAAAAUAGUAUGAGACACUAUUUUUAUUGGAUUUAGAAAAGUGAAAUAUAGGUUGAGAAUGACCUGUGCUGAAAUCGGAGCGAAAACAGAAGAUUUAGAAUUUUCUGUGUGAAACGGGGCAGAUAAAUUAGCAGAAAAUGCACAGUGUCAGAAAAUUCUGAAAACUAGAGGAUAAGCCAGAAUUAUUUUUAUGAGGCUAGAUUUAAAGUUUCAUAUCAUUCUGACACCCGAAAGGUGAAAUAUAAAAUCCGAUAGUGAUCUGAUAAAGAUUACAGUUCGGUACAGCUUUCAGUGACCAAAUGGGGUCGAAACUGAAAGAUUAAAAUUUCUUUCGUUAAGUUAAGCAAAAUCGAACAUGACUGUCAAAUUUGAGCUCAAACGGAUAUUCAGAGGGCUCCGGCGAAAGAUAUCAGAUUUCGAACUGCCUGAAGUGAAUAGUGUACGCUACUAUUGGGGUGUUGACUAUAAGUAGAAGCUACUAGGCUUCUUCCUUUUCACAGCCGACCACCACCCCACACAAGCACACGUUCAUGGUGUAGUGAGAGAUGUUAAGGAUUUUGUAUUGGCAAGUUUCGUGAAGUGAGUUGGAGUCUUGAAGAAUCGAAGCGAAUUGACAAAGAUCAACGAAUUCAAGAUUUUGGAAAAAAUCAGAAAAUACCUCACGACGUGAAUCACGAUGGUCAGGUAAAGUUUUAAUUCAUGUUAUGGUGAUUCAUACUUAGUUAUAGGCAUUAGAAUCAUUUAAUCAAAAGUUUAGUUGAUUAGAAAGUGCUUCGGAAGUGUACGGAACUCGAAACAAUGCAAAAUCCCAAAAAUUGCAUUGUGUACCGGUACAGCAAUCAAGCCCGUACCGGUACAGCCAUCAACUUUGGCUUCGAAAAUUUGUUCCGUCAUUGUGUAACCGGUGACAGCAUUUCGCGUACCCGUACACAGUGUAAAAUCGUGAAAUCUUUCUAAUCCGACUCCAAUUGAUUCUAAAGUCUAUAAAUAAGCUAUUGGGCUUCUCUAACGACAAGGCCAUUAUAAGAAUACAUGUUGAGACACGCCUAGGAGGGCUUGGAUUCAUCUAAAACUAUUUCCCUACAAUAUUAAGCCCUCUUUAAGGUCAAAUCGGAAUUGUGUAAUUGAUAUCUAUAUGCCGAUUUGAUCUCCGCUUUGCUUGGAGUUUCCUUUCCUGUUUUCUACGAUACUCCUAAGCAAAGAUCACCAUAUUCAUGCUUAUCUCAUGGUGGCGUCGUGGAUUCGGGUAUUUGACGGCGGUUCGUGAUUCGGAUUGUGGUCGUGAAUUCGAGUGGCGUCGUGGUUCGGCGUGAUUGAAGCUCGUGGAUUCGAAGUGAGGCGUUCGGAUUCCGGACGUGACGGCGCGUGGAACAACCCUGGAGAGCGCGGAGAUUCAUAGGAGGUUAAGAGAGUUGAGUCCGUGGAGUCGGUAAUACCUUUGUAAUCUUUCUCUUAGGAAUUGUUUUUCGGCGUGUGGUCCCGUGGGUUUUUUCUCCAAGUUGGAGUUUCCCACGUAAAUCUCGGUGUGCUUUUUAUUUUCCGCAUUUAUUUUAUGCAUCGAGAUUUGUGGUUUUUUGGCCUUUCACUAUUCACCCUNNNNNNNNNNNNNNNNNNNNNNNNNNNNNNNNNNNNNNNNNNNNNNNNNNNNNNNNNNNNNNNNNNNNNNNNNNNNNNNNNNNNNNNNNNNNNNNNNNNNNNNNNNNNNNNNNNNNNNNNNNNNNNNNNNNNNNNNNNNNNNNNNNNNNNNNNNNNNNNNNNNNNNNNNNNNNNNNNNNNNNNNNNNNNNNNNNNNNNNNNNNNNNNNNNNNNNNNNNNNNNNNNNNNNNNNNNNNNNNNNNNNNNNNNNNNNNNNNNNNNNNNNNNNNNNNNNNNNNNNNNNNNNNNNNNNNNNNNNNNNNNNNNNNNNNNNNNNNNNNNNNNNNNNNNNNNNNNNNNNNNNNNNNNNNNNNNNNNNNNNNNNNNNNNNNNNNNNNNNNNNNNNNNNNNNNNNNNNNNNNNNNNNNNNNNNNNNNNNNNNNNNNNNNNNNNNNNNNNNNNNNNNNNNNNNNNNNNNNNNNNNNNNNNNNNNNNNNNNNNNNNNNNNNNNNNNNNNNNNNNNNNNNNNNNNNNNNNNNNNNNNNNNNNNNNNNNNNNNNNNNNNNNNNNNNNNNNNNNNNNNNNNNNNNNNNNNNNNNNNNNNNNNNNNNNNNNNNNNNNNNNNNNNNNNNNNNNNNNNNNNNNNNNNNNNNNNNNNNNNNNNNNNNNNNACGAUCCGACAAGUUUGGAUCCGGAAAGGUGAUAUCUUUCCUUGCUCCUCGUCUUAGUCAUUUUUGAUCUAUAGUGUAAUGCUUUGAUUGGUGCUUGUUGUUUAAUUUUAUUCAUUGUAUUACAUGUUUGAAUGAUUUUUGUGCAUUGAAUUUUUGUUUAUUUAAAAAUCAUUUUGAGAAGAAGGUGUUUGGGAAUUUCAAAAUCUUUGAGAAAGAAGAUGAUUGAGAAUCGUUUUUGGAGAGAAAGUUUUUUUUUAAGAAAAAAUUGUUUAAACGGGUUUUAUCUUCACAAUCAUAUUAAGUUAAAUUUAUAUUAAUUAUCGUCUUUACUCCACUAUUUAUUAUUUUGACGAUAAUUUAUUAUAUGAUUUCUUAUUGCAUAAAUUCAUCAAAAUUUUGGAAUCAAAUUUGAUUUUUUGAUGAUUAGUUCAUCUUGAUUGUGAAUGUUGGAUGUGAUGGAUGGAUAUUCUCUAAUUGACUAAAAUUCGUCAAAUUAUUUUCAAUUAUGAGAUUGUCUAAUUUAGGGGGAGUUUGAAAAUAAUAAAAAAAAGAAAAAAAGGAUACUCCUAUGUUUAAAAGAUGUGGAAAGAGUUACAUCCAAAUGGAGUGUGAAAACUACCACCACAUGUAGGAAAGAGCUACCACCCCGGUCGUCCGGCAAGUGUGUGAAGCUACCACAUGAAGAUUAAAUUGAUAAAGCCGAAAAAAAAAGUUGAAAAAAAAAUAUAUAAAUAUUUUAGAGUUUUUCGGAGUAAUAAGGUGUUAGUUUGAAAAAGAUGCUCAAAGAGCCACCCCCGGUAUCAUAUUGGUUAAAUCUCUAUAUUGAACAUGUUACAACAAAUUGGUGUCAAUUUUGUUGAAUUUCUAAGAAUCAUUUUUCUUCAAUUUGCAUCUUGAUGGUUUUGAAUCAUUAAAUCACUUUUGAUAAUGAAAUUUUGAUGUUUUGAUGGAUUUUGAAAUUUUAUAAUAUCUUAUUUUCAUUAUAAUAAUUUUUGGAGUAAAAGCCUUAAUUUGUAUAAAUUUAAUUCAAAUUUGAUGGAUUUUUAAAGCAAAUUUUCAAAAUCUGGGAUCGUGUACCGGUACACGAUUCGGUACCGGUACGAGUACUGUAGCCGCGUCUUAUAUAACCGGAUAUAGGAUUUAUUUCUCUCUCAAAUCUGAAUCAAAUUCCACUCUCUCUCUCUCUAAAAAUCCCUGGUGCUUUCCUCUUGCAGAUCUACACGUUUUCCCUCAGAAAUUUGUGAGUAUUUAGCUUGGAUUUAAUCGUUUCAUCGCGCUCAUGUUAAUUUUUCGAAAAUAUUCCGAGUUUGAGAUAGAUCUCUGUUUUUGAUCAUUUUUUAUGCAAUUUUUUGCUGUAGAUCAGUGCUUAAGGACAUUAUCUUGCUUCUAGAACACUUGAAUCACAUCUAAACACGUUAUUUUUCGCUGAUCCAUGUUCUAAGCUUCAUUUUUUCAUGUAAUUUCGGGAUUUUUGUAAAAUGUCAUUUUUUGACGAAAUUUUUUGCAUGAUCUGGUUAGAAAUAGCAUUUGUAUGCAUUCUAAUGUUAUUAGAAAUUUUUUCGCUAUUUUUACAGAUUUUUCAAAAUUUUUGUUCAUGCACGGCUAAUUUUUGUAUAGGAAAAAUGGCGUUUUCAUUCAUUUUGCUGAUUUUGGUGCUAAUGGCUACGAGACAUGGACGAGGUGGUGGUAGAGGUCGUCGUGGGUCAUCUAAGAGGACACGAACAACGGGAGAAGCGUACGGCUCGGAUCCUGAUUAUCAAGAAAGCUCCCCUGAAGAGGCAGAAGAACCUAUUGCUCAGCUUGACAAGGGCAAAGGAAUAGCUGGCGAGUCCUCACGUGGCGGUGGUUCUCNNNNNNNNNNNNNNNNNNNNNNNNNNNNNNNNNNNNNNNNNNNNNNNNNNNNNNNNNNNNNNNNNNNNNNNNNNNNNNNNNNNNNNNNNNNNNNNNNNNNNNNNNNNNNNNNNNNNNNNNNNNNNNNNNNNNNNNNNNNNNNNNNNNNNNNNNNNNNNNNNNNNNNNNNNNNNNNNNNNNNNNNNNNNNNNNNNNNNNNNNNNNNNNNNNNNNNNNNNNNNNNNNNNNNNNNNNNNNNNNNNNNNNNNNNNNNNNNNNNNNNNNNNNNNNNNNNNNNNNNNNNNNNNNNNNNNNNNNNNNNNNNNNNNNNNNNNNNNNNNNNNNNNNNNNNNNNNNNNNNNNNNNNNNNNNNNNNNNNNNNNNNNNNNNNNNNNNNNNNNNNNNNNNNNNNNNNNNNNNNNNNNNNNNNNNNNNNNNNNNNNNNNNNNNNNNNNNNNNNNNNNNNNNNNNNNNNNNNNNNNNNNNNNNNNNNNNNNNNNNNNNNNNNNNNNNNNNNNNNNNNNNNNNNNNNNNNNNNNNNNNNNNNNNNNNNNNNNNNNNNNNNNNNNNNNNNNNNNNNNNNNNNNNNNNNNNNNNNNNNNNNNNNNNNNNNNNNNNNNNNNNNNNNNNNNNNNNNNNNNNNNNNNNNNNNNNNNNNNNNNNNNNNNNNNNNNNNNNNNNNNNNNNNNNNNNNNNNNNNNNNNNNNNNNNNNNNNNNNNNNNNNNNNNNNNNNNNNNNNNNNNNNNNNNNNNNNNNNNNNNNNNNNNNNNNNNNNNNNNNNNNNNNNNNNNNNNNNNNNNNNNNNNNNNNNNNNNNNNNNNNNNCGUGAUUGAAGCUUCGUGGAUUCGAAGUGGAGGCGUUCGUGGAUUCGAACGUGAGGGCGUGGACAACCCGGAGGGUAGCGCGGAGAUUCAUAGGAGGUUAAGAGAGGUUGAGUCCGUGGAGUCGGUAAUCACCUUGUAAUCUUUUCUCUUAGUGAAUUGUUUUUUCGCGUGUUGGUCCCGUGGGUUUUUCUCCAAGUUGGAAUUUUCCCACGUAAAUCUCGGUGUGCUUUUUAUUUUCCGCAUUUAUUUUUAUUGCAUCGAGAUUUGUGGUUUUUUGGCCUUUCACCUAUUCACCCCCCUCUAGGUGAUAGAUACAAUCUAGAUAGAUCCUUGGGCUCCUCAAAACUUUCAAGAGAAACCCUCCCUUUUCUCUCUCUAAAUAUCUCUCUCAUCUCUCUAUAUUUCUCGCCCAAAUUCGCGGCGUUGGCGGAGAACGAGUUUGCGAACACGUUGGGAGCGACGGAUCAAGCUUUCGUGCCCCCGUUCGAGCGGCGUGCUUCCGUCUCGGCGUUCACAUUUUGGUAAACUUUUUGAAUUUUGCUUAAUCCUUAACCUUAAGUGUUCUAGUAGCCUCUAAUGAGCAUUCUUAGCAUGUUGCUCCAUUUAAUUUGGAUUAUUUGGGGGUAAUUGCAUGUUAGGGCUCAAAAAUGGGAUUUUGCAAUAUGUGAGAGUUUGAUCUAAAUUGAUCAUGUAUAAACCUAAUUGCUAGGUUUUCUGACGCAUUGGCGAAGUCGGUUCGGUGAUACGACUAGCGUACGCGAAGAUAUUAAAGAACGAAGCCGUUAAGGUACAGAUUGCCGCAGCUCGCGGCGAGAGCUUCCAAAAAUCACGAAAUCGGAACCCUAGCCUCGUGAUAGCGAUAAAAGGUGGGGGGUGUCAUCCCGAAGCAAUCGGGCUUCUCCCUAUGUCUAAGUUAAAUGUAUUGAUCAUAUAUCAACAUUAUGCAUUAUAGGAUGUGUAGAUGGUUGCAUUUCUAUUUCCUUGCAUGCUUCUUAGUAGUGUAGCAUUGUGAGCUUGACACAUGGACUAGGGAUGCAUGAGGAUUGGGUCUUGUGACAUGGAAUCCUAUUGUCACGCCCCGCGACCGCUACCAAUUUGGUCCGGCCCGGGCGCGGCGAACAGACGCCGAACGGACAGGACCUCCCCUGUCCGUCCAAGGCUAACCAACAGAUCGUGCAUAAGAAUUUACCCAGGAAUCAAUUCAUAAAUACACGAUCACUAAGCACCACUAGUGCUAUAAACAAGAGCAAGAUACAAGUAUAGAAACAUAUACAAGUACAUCAAGAGAGAAAAGACUAUCUAUUACAUUCAUUUGAUUUACUGCAUUUAGAUACAUCUUUUACAUUCUUCCAUAGUAUGAAUACAAGCACUCAACCCUCACCCUAUACAACAACUACUCUCAAAUACAAAAAGGGGUGACUGGUAAUGCAAAAGGGAGGUAACUAGUGCAACUAGAACGCCGGGCCCUUACCGCGAUCCUCACGCUCACCGGGGANUUUGCACUGGUGCUCCCGCGGACCCUUCUUUAAUGCACUUUAUGCAUUAUAAUCGCCUUCGGACUUUCCGAAGCCUACACCCUCGACGAACAGUCGAUUCUAAUCGAAGUCUAAUCCUCGAGUUUCGAGAAUUCACUUCCUUACACCUAUAGUGGCAUAAAGAUAAACUUGGAUAUGUAAAUGGCCAAGAAGAGUGACAUUUGGACUAGUGUUAGUACUAUGCAUGAUAGGGUAUUGGAUAGUCGCAUUUCCAUUCUUGCAUGAUCCUGAGUAGUGUAGCAACAUGAGUUUUGCACUUGAGUUAGGAUGCAUGAGAAUAGAGGAGUUGUGAUAUAAAACCCUACAGUGGUAAAGUUAAAUGAUGAACUUAAUCUUGUGUUGACAAGAAUUAGAGAACGAGUGGCAUCUAGACAAUGUUGACAACUUGACGAGUGGCAUGACAAGUACUGUAUAGAUGAAAAUACUUGUUGCAUGUUGAACAUAUAGAUGAAAUAGUUCCUAAGUGGAUGUUGACCCUAGUAGCAGGGUAUCCUCUUGUGACGAGGAUUUGAUCAUACUCACAUGUCUGUUCAGAGCUUGUAGGUGGUCGCUUCACACAAGCAGUGCACUCCGGAGUUGUCACACGAUAGGGAUAGCCUUAUGGGGUCCCGAGAGAUAGCCUUAUGGGGUCCCGCAGACGGUCUUGGGCGAGUGAGCAGAUCCUCCCCAAGUGAGUCGGGUGAGUGAGCUGAUCCUCACCUGUGAGAUUGAGAUUGGGUUGUGGUACCUCUGUUGAGUCGGGCGAGUGAGCAGAUCCUCCCCGUUGAGAUUAGAUUGUGAGUCGGGCGAGUGAGCGGAUUCUCUCCUUUGAGACUAGAUUGUGAGUUGGGUGAGUGAGCGGAUCCUCACCCUUGUUAUUGAGUAGAUUGCAUACUAUGUAGUUGUUCAUACAUUGGAUUAUUGAGGCAUAGAUCAUAUACUAUGUUGUAGCUCAUUCCAUUGGUUAUUGAAAGCAUAGUAGAAUGUUGCAUAUUACUUUACUAUGUUGCACUUCAAUUUUAUAUCUAUCUAUCUAUCUAUCUAUUUAUCUGCUUGUGCCUACUUGGACCUAGUGGGAAGAUCGGCGGAGUCGGCGGCCGAACCCACUGAGAACUAUGGACAAUAGUUUUCUCCCCACUUUGUUGCAGGGCCUAGCGAGAGAGCACCGGCAGAGGACCGUGGUAAGGGCAUCGCGCCCUAGGUAUAGUUAGCAGCUUCCACUUGCAUUAGUGUACCCUUGUGUACCCCGUGACAUAUGAUGUAUUGAGGGAGCUUGCUUGUGUAUUUUGGAGAUUAUCAUGCAUAUUCAUUUUGGAGAUUAUCAUGUAAUCAAGGAUCUAAAUGUUGAAUGCCUUGUGGAUGUAAUAGCUAGAUCACUCUCUUUGCUCUCUUGUAUGCUUGUAUAGUUACUUGCUAGAAUCAUGUAUGUUAUUUGAGUUUUCCUGGGCAACUCUUGUACAUGAUCGCUGUUGUUUAGCCUUGGGCGGACAGGCGAGGUGCUGUCCGUUCGGCGUCUGUUCGACGCGCCCGAACCGGACCAAAUUGGUAGCGGCCUCGGGGCGUGACACCGGAGGUGCGAGGAGGGCGGCGCGGCCGGCGGGGAGCGGCGGCGGCGCGCGGAGGCAGAGAUCACCCAGACUCGGCCUGGGUGACUGCAGCUAGCCGUAGGGAGCUGGGGUGGCUCCGGCAGCGCGCGGGGACGGCGGAGGCCGGCGGGGACGGCGCAGGGGAUGGGCCUCGGCCAGGGGAUGUUGAAGCUUGGGCUUUGAUGCCUUCCAGAGCACAACAGUAUAAAAGGUCAACCAGCCUCCGAAAAGACCUACUAAAAUGUCUAAACUAAAAGCUUGUUAACAAUUAACACGUCACAACUAUUAGACAGUGGGAUGAUCAAUGAAUCACAUCAAACGGCCCAUUCAUCUCAACUCAAUACUAGUAUGCCCAAGAGAUCUAGCCACAAAUGUCAAAUGUAAACUGGCCUCCCACGAUCUCUAUUAUGUCAAAUGUCAUAUGUCAAAUGUCCACACUGCCGCACAAAGACGCGACUUUUAACUCAUGGCAUGUCCAAUGCAAGAAGAAGUCUACGAUGAUCAAUACUUUACGAGUCAUGCACGCGUGCGUUCUUAAAAUAGACAUAAAAGAAAAUUCGCUAUUUUCGGUGACUCGGAACCCACCUCGACUUGCUACGUCAACUCGAACAAGAGAAAUGCUCCUCACGUGCUUUUUCUCGGCUUACAAUUGCCCGAAAACACUAAACACGAUAAAACCGUCAGAAUUACGAUCAAUAAGGCAAACUUUCUAAUCGAGUACAAAUCACAGUAAUUGAACGUCAAUUAUCUUGAAUUGCCACUAACGGGACGUGUAUGGCACUUAAUUUCAUACUCUAGAACACCCUGCAAGUGUCAAUUUGACAUUUAGAAUUGCGAAUUUUUGCCGAUUGCAAUGUCUGUUUCACUAAUUCCAUUUCAUUGCUCUUCUUUCAUUUCUCUCUUUCCUCUCUCCUUCUCCCAUCUCUUUUCUUUUCUUUUCUCCUUUCUUCCUUUCUUCCUUUGUUUCUUUUCUACUUUUCGUUCCUUUCUUCUUCUUUUUUUUAUAUACGGGCCUUCCCCCUACAGCAGGGGUUCCUGCUGCUGCGGCUUGUGCAAUCAGUAGCAGGCUGCUGCUACUGUCACGUCCCGGGACCCAGCAGAAGCCCGCACGGCACGUGCCCAGACCCGCCAUACGUCUAAAACAUAUAAGGCGUCUAAAAACAACAAUAAUAAAAGCAAUAAUAAAAGACAUCUAGGAGUAUCAGAGCAUAAUAAAUGUCUAAAUGCUACANGUGAGCGGAUCCUCACCCUUGUUAUUGAGUGGAUUGCAUACUAUGUAGUAGUUCUAUGCAUUCUUUACUGUUGAGGCAUAGUAGCAUGUGUAGAUUGCAUACUAUGUAGUUGUUCAUACAUUGGAUUAUUGAGGCAUAGAUCAUAUACUAUGUUGUAGCUCAUUCCAUUGGUUAUUGAAGGCAUAGUAGAAUGUUGCAUAUUACUUUACUAUGUUGCACUUCAAUUUCACAUCUAUCUAUCUAUCUAUCUAUCUGCUUGUGACUGCUUAGACCUAGUGGGAAGAUCGGCGGAGUCGGCGGCCGAACCCACUGGGAACUAUAUUUAUAUAGUUCUCACCCCGUGUGGUUUUGGGGUACAGGUACACGCGAGAGCGGAUCGGCAGGGGAUCGCGGUAACGGCAUAGCGCCAUAGUAGCUAGUAGCUUUCCCUUUUGCAUUAGAGUACCCUCGUGUACAUAGAGAUGUGAUGUAUUUGGGAGUUACUUAUGUUGGAGAGCCAUUUUGUAUUAUGAGAAGAAUAUGCUUUCAUUUUGGAGAUGUAAAGGUAAUCAAAAAUGUAAAUGUUGAAUGCCUUCUGGAUGUAAUAGCUUAGACGUAUCUCUCUUUAUUUCACUCAUAUGUUACUUGUGAUUCUUGCUCUUAAUUGUAUAGCACUUGUGGUGCUCGUUGUAUCAUGUAUGUUGUUGAAUUUCUCCUGGGCAAAUUCUUGUACAUGAUAUGGUUGUUGAGCCUUGGGCGGACAGGGGAGGUGUUGUCCGUUCGGCGUCCGUUCGCCGCGCCCGAACUGGACCAAAUUGGUAGCGAUCUCGGGGCGGGGCGUGACACUCGGUGCAUAAUAGAACAAUAUAAAUAGGUUUUUCUCUUUGUUCGAUAGAAUGAGAAAAAGUACUCGUGGCAAAGUUAUACAAUUUGGGCGUAACUGAGUAUUCUAAUAUUUUUUCGGUUUUGGUUCUUGUGAACGUUGACAUCGAUUCAUUCCAAAUACACACUCUCGGGGCAUAAUAAAACAAUAUAAUUAGGCUUUACUAUUUGUUAGACUGAAUGAGAAAAAGUACUCGUCGCAAAGUUUUACUGUUAGGGCGCAACUGAGUAGUCUAAUGUUGUUCCGGUUUUUGUUCUUGUGAACGUUGACAUCGAUUCGUUCCAAAUUUACACUCUCUGGGCAUAAUACAACAAUAUAAUUAGGUUUUACGCUUUGUUCGAUAGAAUUAGAAAAAGUACUCAUUGCAAAGUUAUGCUGUUAGGGCCCAACUGAGUAGUCUAAUGUUGUUCUGAUUUUUGUUCUUGUGAACGUUGACAUCGAUUCGUUCCAAAUUUACACUCUCGGGGAAUAAUAGAACAAUAUAAUUAGGUGUCACGCCCCGAGACCGCUACCAAUUUGGUCCGGCCCCGGGCGCGUCAAACAGACGCUGAAUGGACAGGACCUCCCCUGUCCGCCCAAGGCUAACUAACAGAUCAUGUAUCAGAAUUUACCCAGGAAUCAAUUCAUAAAUACACGAUCAAGAAGCACCACCAGUGCAACAACCAAGAGCAAGAUACAAGUAUGGGAACAUAUACAAGUACAUAAAGAGAGAAAGUUCUAUUUAUUACAUUCAUUCAACUUAGUACACUUAGCUCAAUCUUUUACAUUCUUCCAAAAAUAUAAAUACAAGCACUCAAACCUCACCCUAUAUAUCAUCUACUCUCAAGUAUAAUUAAGGGUAGGGCUAAUACAAAAGGGUAGGUGGCUAAUGCAACUAGGGCAAUGAGCCCUUACCGCGAUCCUCACGCUCGCCCGAAAAACUCGAACUCGGACCUGUAAAAAGUGGGGUGAGAACUAACUUCCUUAGUUCCCAGUGGGUUUGGCUGCCAACUCCGCCGGUCUCCCCACUAGGUCCAAGUGGGCACAGGUAGAUAAACAGAUAGAUAGAUAUGGAAAGCUGUAGAAACAGAUAGAAAACUACUCUACUAUGCCCGAAUCAUAAACAUAUGGAUGCAUGUACAAUGAAAUGGUAAGCGACUAACCCGUCAACAUGUCCAAAAGUAAAGCUAUGCACUUAUUCAUCAAUCUCGUUUACUUGUUUCUUAAUCUCGUGGCUUCUCUGAACACUUGCCUACUACUCACUAGCCAUCUCGAAGGUAGGGAGGGUCGACUCGCACUACGAACCGAGACCGUCUGCUGGGACCCAAAAUAGGAAAUCCCUUGGGACCCAAAAUAGGCAAUCCCACGUGACCAACUCCGGAGCGCACUACUUGUGUGGGGCUUCCAUCGCAAGAUUUAAAAAAACAGACCGUGAGCAUGAUCCAAUCCUCGUCUCAAGAAUACCCUAUCCUCUAGGGUUACAAUCAUCAUAUAGUCCAUCAGUUUCACAUACACUACGACUCAUAUGUGUCAUUUGUUAUUUUGCUUACUAUCAACUAAAUGCCACUCGUUCAUUUGUUUAAUAUCAAACCAACCAUCGAGUCCAUCUCUUUCUCUGCACUAUAGGAUUCACAAGUCUCAACCCAAUCCUUAUCAAUCCACUAUAUCAAGUAUUCAGUACAUGCUACGAUAUCAUCAAGGAAAGCAUAAGGAAAGGCAAUGCACAAUCAUCCUAUAAUGCAAUAACACAAGAUGCAAGAAUCAAAAUGUACUAAGACAUAGAAGGGGGCCCAGUUGCUUCGGGAUGGUCACCACCCACCUCCUGGUGAUGCCGCGAUGAUAGAAAACUUGACGUCGCGGUUCUUGCACGUCGCCCUAGCUCCUCGGGGCGAAGCAAGCCCUCAAGUACCCGAUUCGGAGAUUUCUCCGCACCCGCUCGUCGGAUCGAGAAAUCGACUUCACCGACGCGUUCCGAGACCUAGCAAUUAGGUUUGCGACCUAUUAAAUUAGAUCAAAACCCUAGAUUUCCAAAAUCCCAAUUUCGUGCCCUAGAAUGGCAACGAGGAAGAAAUCCGUGGUGCGAGCUUCAAUUGCGAGCCCGAACCACCUAUUUAUCUCCUCUAGGUUCCAUUCGAACCAAUUCUAAACAAUAAAACCCAAUCCUAAGAAAUCCACCAUGGAUGGGUUUGGAGCUUACCUCUAAGCCAAGCUCCAAGCUUGCCCUAGCUUGAAGGAGAGAGGGAAGAAGACCUUCUUCUUCUUCUUUUGGACUUCUCCUUCCACUUCUUCUUUUCCUUCCUCUCUUUCUCCUCCUUCUUCUUCUCCUUCUUUUCUUUCUAGAGAGAGAGAGGGAAAGAGUGUGAGAUGGAGAGAGAGCAAAUGAGAGGGGCAGAGGGGUCCCCAGCCUCUAAUAAAGGCCAUUUUGCAAUUAGCCCCCUCAACUUUUCAUCUUCAGAAUCAGCCCUCUCUAGGCAUUUUCGCAGUGAGGGACCGGUCCCAGCUCGGGGAGACCGGUCCCCGAAAGCUGCAAUUCCGAGCAGAGGGGAUUUCGCGUUAGGGAAGCGGUCCUUGCUUGUGAGACCGGUCCCCGGGAGACCGGUCCUUGUCCGAGAGAUCGGUUCCUGAAAGCUGAGUUUUCGGGACUUAGCCAAAUAUCGGCUAUUCUCGCUGGGCUGACGUUCGGGAACCGGUCCCUCACCACCAGGGACCGGUCUCAUCAGAGACCCCCGCAACCCAACCCGAUGGGACCGGUCCCUCCCUGCCAGUGACCGGUCCCCGAGAGCAUUUCUACUCCAGUGCAAGUUUUGCACUGGUGCUCUCGCGGACCUUUCUUUAAUGCACUUUAUGCAUUAAAGUCACCUUCGGACUUUCCGAAGCUUACGCACUCGAUGACUGGUCGAUUCUAAUCGAAGUCUAAUCCCCGAAUUCCGAGGAUUCACUCCCUUACAUCCUCCUCACCUUAAAAUAGUUUCGUCCUCGAAACGAACUCAAUACUUCCAAACUUAAUUAGAAUUCCAAAUUCUAAAUUCAUACCUUGAUUUAACCUUCAAACAGGCUAGGAUGAUUCGCCUUCAUCUUCUCCUCGAGCUCCUAGGUGGCUUCGCGAUCGUCAUGAUUGCUCCACCGGACUCGGACAUAAGGAAUUUUCCGAUUCCUUAACUUACACACUUCACGAGCGGUAAUUGCCAUCGGGAAUUCCUCGUAGCUCAGGUCCUCCUGAAGCUCCGGCGGCUCGUACAACAUCGCGUGCUCGGGGUCAAGAAUGUAUUUGCGAAGAUUGGAGACGUGGAAUACAUUGUGCACACCCGCUAGCUUCGGCGGCAACGCGAGCCGAUAAGCCACCGUCCCAAUCCGCUCCAAAAUCUCAUAGGGGCCAAUAUAUCGAGGACUUAACUUGCCCCGAACGCCAAAUCGCUUAACGCCCCUCAUAGGAGAAACCUUUAAGAACACGCGGUCGCCCACCGCGAAUUCUAAAUCCCGUCGGCGCCUAUCCGCAUAGCUCUGUUGUCGAGACUGCGCCGUGAGCAACCGUUUGCGAGCAAGGCGGACCUUUUCUUCCGCCUCCCGCAGCACGUCGGGGCCGAAUUCUGUGCGCUUGCCCACAUCACUCCAAUAGAUGGGAGAUCGGCACUUUCGCCCAUAAAGAGCCUCGAACGGUGCCAUCUCCACACUAGCAUGAUAACUGUUGUUGUAGGCGAACUCAGCCAUGGGCAAGUACUUACACCAGCCCCCUUUGUAGUCGAUGACACAGUCUCGCAACAUGUCAUCCAGAGUCUGAAUGGUUUUUUUCGUUUGCCCAUCUGUCUGGGGAUGAAAUGCAGUACUGAAAUCGAGCCUCGUGCCAAGGGCCUCCUGCAGGCUUUUCUAGAAAUGUGAAGUAAACUUGGGGUCUCUAUCUGACAAAAUCGACUUUGGUAUCCCGUGUAACCUUACUACCUCAUCAAGAUACACCUGCGCUAAUCUAUCUCCCGCCUAGGUGGUGUGGAUCGGUAAAAAGUGCGCUGACUUCGUCAAGCGAUCCACAAUCACCCAGAUUGCGUCGUGUCCCCCUGUCGAGCGAGGUAAGCCAACGAUAAAAUCCAUAUAUAUGUCCUCCCAUUUCCAAACGGGGAUAGGUAGACUCUGAAGCUUUCCCGCUGGAAACCGGCGCUCCGCUUUCACUUGCUGACAAGUCAAACAUUUCGCCACGAAGCGCCCAAUAUCAGCCUUCAUCCUCGGCCACCAAUAGAGUGCUCUCAACUCAUGAUACAUUUUGGUGCCGCCCAGGUGAUCCGCGUAUGGAGACCGGUGGGCUUCCUGCAAAAUCAGCUCGCGAAGCUCUUCAUUCUCGGGCACGCACCACCGGUUUCGAAACCGGAGCGCGCCACCGGCGUCCACACUGAAGUCGCCACCUCGACCUUCAUCGACAUUAUGCCGCACCUUUUGGAGACUCGGAUCAACAGGUUGCAAUUUCUUGAUCCUCUCCAAUAAGGUCGGCUGAAUGACAAGUGCCAUCAGCUGAGUCGGGAUCUCGGGAGCGACCACUUCGAGGUCCAGUCGCUCCAUCUCCAGCCCUAGGGGUGUUUGCCGGGUAACAUCAAAGGCGAGGUUCUUCGCCGACUUCCUACUAAGUGCGUCUGCGACCACAUUUGCCUUGCCGGGGUGGUAGAGAAUGUCGACAUCAUAAUCUUUUAAUAGCUCUAGCCACCGCCUCUGUCGCAUAUUCAGCUCCUUCUGGGUAAACAGGUACUUCAGACUUUUGUGGUCGGUGUAGAUCUCGCAGUGUGCACCGUAUAGGUAGUGCCUCCACAACUUCAGCGCAAAGAUCACCGCCGCCAACUCCAAGUCAUGGAUGGGGUAAUUCUUCUCGUGGUCCUUCAGCUGACGGGAUGCAUAAGCUAUCACUCUCCCGCCCUGCAUCAGGACACACCCCAAGCCCAGAUAGGAUGCAUCGCUAUAAACUACAAAGUCCUCGCCCUGCACUGGUAAGGCGAGUAUCGGAGUCGACGUCAAUCUUUUCUUCAACUCGUUGAAGUUUUGAUCACACUCAUCGCUCCAAAUAAACUUGACGCCCUUUUGUGUCAGACCAGUAAGUGGAGUCACAAUCUUUGAAAAGCCCUCCACAAACCGUCGAUAAUAGCCCGCUAAGCCCACAAAGCUUCGGACCUCCGUGACGUUCGUCGGGCGAGGCCACUUCUCGACCGCUUCGACUUUCCUCGGGUCAACCGAAACACCGCCCUCGGAAAUCACAUGCCCUAAGAAGGCAACCUCUCGAAGCCAGAAGUCACAUUUCUUCAGCUUUGCGAAUAGCUUCUCCUCCCGAAGGAUUUGUAGCACUAUCCGCAAAUGCUCCGCGUGCUCCUCGUCACUCCGCGAAUAGACCAAGAUGUCGUCUAUGAAGACCACGACAAAUCGGUCCAAGCACGCCCUAAACACACGGUUCAUUAGAUCCAUGAACGCCGCCGGGGCAUUAGUGAGCCCGAAAAGCAUAACCAUGUACUCAUAGUGUCCAUAGCGCGUACGAAACGCGGUCUUCUGAAUAUCCUCCGACUUAAUCUUUAACUGAUGGUAGCCGGACUGUAGGUCUAUCUUCGAGUACACUCGUGACCCCUGUAAUUGAUCAAAUAAGUCGUCGAUUCGGGGCAACAGGUACUUAUUCUUUAUCGUGACCCUAUUCAACUCUUGAUAAUCCACGCAGAGUCGAAACGAGCCAUCUUUCUUGCGCACGAACAAUACCGGGGCUCCCCACGGUGACACGCUCGGUCGGAUAAACCCCUUGUCGAGGAGAUCUUGCAACUGAUCCCUCAGUUCCCUCAACUCCGCCGGCGCCAUGCGGUAUGGGGCCUUUGAGAUUGGCGCCGUCCCGGGAAUCAAGUCUAUAACAAACUCGAUCUCCCGAUCCGGCAGCAUCCCCGGUAACUCCGUGGGAAAUACAUCUGAAAAUUCCCGCACCACCGAUAAAUCCUCUAAUUUCGGCACCACCCGAUCCACCACCACGACGGUCGCCAAAAAUGCUACGCAGCCGCCGUUGACCAACUUCCUAGCUCUCGUCGCUGAUACCGUCGCGACGAAGCAAGAACUUCGACAGGCUCGAUAAACGAACUCCUUCUGUCCGGGCUCCCGAAAGGUGAUCAAUUUAUUCUUACAAUCGAUCGUGGCGUAAUACUUCGAGAGCCAGUCCAUGCCUAAAAUAACGUCGUACGCCUCCAGUUUAACGAGUUUCAACAUCCGGAUGGGCAUUAUCCAAUCACCUACUUGCACCGGACACGACGAGCACUCCGUAUAGGUAUUAAAUGACGAGUCGGGACCUUCGACUCGCCACUUGCCACUUGCUUCUAUGGGUAUGUCAUGCAUGCGUGCAAAUGCCCUACUAAUAAAUGAGUGCGUAGUACCUGUAUCGAACAUAGCCCUGGAGCGAACUCCACUGAUUAGAACCAUACCUGCCACAACAUCAGGCUCUUCAGCUUGGAUAGGCUCCUCGGCUUGGGCCUGAGCGGCGAACACCCGUCCGCUCGGCGCUGAUCGAGUCACUUCCGGUUGGCAUGGCGCCAGUGCAUGCCCUGCUGACACGGGGACAUAUGGGGCCCCUCCCUGAUAAGGCGGGGGCACUGGAGUCAAUGCGACUGACGGAGUAGACGAGGCCCUUGCCGGACAGUCGCGGCUGAUGUGUCCUUCUUGUCCACAAUUAAAACACCUUCCCUGUUGUUGUCUACACUGCGGUGCUCGAUGGCCUCGAUCUCCACAGAUAGGGCACCGCUGCAGCCCAUGGCCCUACGACUGCGACCGCGGAGGCUUCGGGGGCCUCCUCGAACUAGAUUGUCCCCCCGAACCGCCGCCCGAUUGCUUCUUCCCCUUGUCUUGGGAUUCGGCCAACAACUCGCGUUCCUCCCGCACGUGGGCAUCUCCAUGCUCUGCCUACAGCGCCUUGUUGAAAACCUCGGCGAAAGUCGUGAGCUGGAACAAUUGCAUCGCCCGAUAUAUCCACGGCCGGAGUCCCCGCAAGAACCACUCGGCUCGAUCCGCGUCAUCCUUAACAACGUCCGGGACGCAAUCUGUAAGGUACCGGACUUCUAAAAUUAUGAGGUUACGGUGUACAUUUGGUUGGAAGACCAUUUGAAUGGUUUCGGUGAGGUCCCGGUGAGGUCCAGAAGCAUUCGGGCGUUUCGAUGCGCGUAGGCGCUAAAACGGAGCCGAAAGGCCAUGUUGGGCCGUGAGCUAAAUCCGGCAUUAGCGAGGAUGAAAAGAUGAUGAAAAUACACUCGAAAACAUGUUUGGAGAGUCUCGGUCCAAUUUGAAAAGAAUCGGAGGUCCAACGAGUGAAAACGAGCGAAAACGGAGAAGAAAUGGUGAAAAGCUGAAAAUUUGGCUAAGUCCUAAAAGGCUGGAAUUCUCGACCUACGGGGACCGGUCCCCCAAGUCCAUGGACCGGUCCCCUAUACAAAAAAUGGCCCCCGCGGGGGCAAUGUAAUAAAAUGAAAGUUGAGGGGCCUAUUUGCACUUUGGGCAUUAUGAGAGUGUAUAGAGAGGGUUCUUUCUCUCUUUCUCUCAUUUCCCUCACCCCAACGCCAUCUCUCUCUCUCUCUAAACGUGAAGAAGAAGAAGAAGAAAAAGAAAAAGAGAAGAAAGGAGAAGAAGAAAAGGGAGGAGAAGAAGAGAAGUAUCAUCACCAUCACCAUCUUCUUCUUCCUUUCACCCUUGGAGCAAACCUAGAGAGGUAAGUUUGAUACCCUCUCAUGGUAGAUUUCUAGAGUUUGAUCCUAAUGCUUUAGAAAUGGGUUUAGAAGCCUUCCUAGAUGCUAAUUAGAUGGAUUAUGCUUAGAUCCAAGGGUUUAAUGGUGGGUUUUUAUUUAAUGGCAAACCUAGGGUUAAAAAUGGGGUUUUGAGAAAUAGUUGGGUUUGAUCAUUUUUAACCCUCUGUAAACCUAAUUGAUAGGUCACUGAACGCGUUGGAAGCGACGGUUUGGCAAUCCGUCGAGCCGUUACAAAGAUAUCGAAGAAGAGGCCGAUUUUGGUACAGAUUGCCGCAGCUCGCGGCGAAAGCUUCCAAAAAUCAUGAAAAUGGAAUCGUAGCAUCGUGGUGUCGAGGAAUAAACUGCAGAACAGACGGAUCGCGGAUUGGUGGCCGUUCGGGUGGUCGCGCAAGAGUUUGGCCCGAACCGGAUCACGUGCGCCGCAGGAGGCCGAUUGCGAAGGACGACGAGCAAUCGGAACGCUAUAAAAGGUGGGUGGUGACCAUCCCGAAGCAACCGGACUCCCUUUUAUGUCUAAGUUUUAUAUUGAUCAAAUUGCAUAUUGACAUCUUGCAUUAUAGGGUGAUAAAUGAUGGUUUGGUCCUAUACCUUGCAUGUUCUUUGGUAGAAUAAUGUAUUUGGCUUAGUACUUAUAUCUAGCAUGCUUGAGGUUUAUAUAUGUGAUGUGGAACCCUAUAAUGAGAUGAUAAGUGUGGAUGGGAAUUUAGUAAUGUAUUGGCUAUUGCAUUGGAAACUUGUAAAGAACGAGUGGCAUCUAGUUGAUAGUAAACAAAAGAACAAGUGACAUAUGUGAGUCGUAGUGUAUAUGAAACCUAUGGACUAUAUGAUGAUUGUAACCCUAGAGGAUAGGGUAUUCUCGAGAUGAGGAUUGGAUCAUGCUCACGGUCUGUUUUAAAAUCUUGUGAUGGAAGCCCCACACAAGUAGUGCGCUCCGGAGUUGGUCACGUGGGAUUGCCGAUUUCGGGUCCCAAGGGAUUGCCUAUUUUGGCCCCCGCCAGACGGUCUCGGUUCGUAGUGCGAGUUGACCCUCCCUACCUUCGAGAUGGCUAGUGAGCAGUAGGCUCCUUCAGGGAAGCCACGAGAUUAAGAAACAAGUAAAUGAGAUUGAUGAACGAGUAAAUAGCUUUACCUUUGGACAUGAUAAUGGGUUAGUUGUUUAUCUAUUUCAUUGUACAUGCAUUCAUAUAUUUAUGAUUGGGCAUAGUAGAGUAGCUUUACUUCUGUCAUUUACCGCUUUCCUUAUCUAUCUAUCUAUCGAUUAUCUACUUGUGCCCGACUUGGACCUAGUGGGGAGAUCGGCGGAGUCGGCGGCCGAACCCACUGGGAACUAAGGAAGUUAGUUCUCACCCCCAUUUUACUACAGGGCCGAGCGGGAGUUCACACGGCGAGGAUCGCGGUAAGGGCCUAGCGCCCUAGUUGCAUUAGUCUACUUUCCUAUUUCUGCAUUAGAGUCACC